rnacentral:rRNA from 1 species
GGCGAACGCUGGCGGCGUGCUUAACACAUGCAAGUCGAACGGAAAGGCCCUGCUUUUGUGGGGUGCUCGAGUGGCGAACGGGUGAGUAACACGUGAGUAACCUGCCCUUGACUUUGGGAUAACUUCAGAAACUGGGGCUAAUACCGGAUAGGAGCUCCUGCUGCAUGGUGGGGGUUGGAAAGUUUCGGCGGUUGGGGAUGGACUCGCGGCUUAUCAGCUUGUUGGUGGGGUAGUGGCUUACCAAGGCUUUGACGGGUAGCCGGCCUGAGAGGGUGACCGGCCACAUUGGGACUGAGAUACGGCCCAGACUCCUACGGGAGGCAGCAGUGGGGAAUAUUGCACAAUGGGCGGAAGCCUGAUGCAGCAACGCCGCGUGCGGGAUGACGGCCUUCGGGUUGUAAACCGCUUUCGCCUGUGACGAAGCGUGAGUGACGGUAAUGGGUAAAGAAGCACCGGCUAACUACGUG